UACGUAGGGUGCGAGCGUUAAUCGGAAUUACUGGGCGUAAAGCGUGCGCAGGCGGUUUGGUAAGACAGAUGUGAAAUCCCCGGGCUUAACCUGGGAACUGCAUUUGUGACUGCCCGGCUAGAGUGUGUCAGAGGGGGGGUAGAAUUCCACGUGUAGCAGUGAAAUGCGUAGAUAUGUGGAGGAAUACCGAUGGCGAAGGCAGCCCCCUGGGAUAACACUGACGCUCAUGCACGAAAGCGUGGGGAGCAAACAGG
rnacentral:rRNA from 1 species